AAAACAUAGCCAUCAGAUAGUAUUGGUGGUUUAACCUGCCCAAUGUUAGAAAUAAUGAAUGGCCGCGGUACCCUGACCGUGCUAAGGUAGCGUAAUCAGUUGGCUUUUAAAUGGAGUCAGGAAUGAAUGGGAAAACUGGGUCUAGCUGUCUCCUAGUUAAUCUAUUGAAUUUACUAUUUAGGUGAAAAAGCCUAAAGUGGAAAAAGGGACGAGAAGACCCUUAGAAUUUUUUUUAAAAAGAAUGAAGAUUUUUCUUUAUGAUUUUGUUGGGGCGAUAUAGAAAUAUUUAAAACUUUCUUUUAAUUACAAGCCGAUCUUUUUAAGUGAGAAUAAAUUACCUGAGGGAUAACAGCAUUAUUCUAAAAUUGAGUUUGUGACCUCGAUGUUGGACUAGGAAACUAACAGGCUAGCCGUUUGUUGUGUGAGUUCUGUUCGAACUGUAAUUCCU
rnacentral:rRNA from 1 species